GAAUGUAAGGGCGAUCUGGCUGUGACAUCUGUCACCCCAUUAAUCGCCAGGGUUGAUUUGGCUGAUCUGGCUGCCUACUCGGGUGUCCCCCUUCCUCCCUCAUGGCUCCAUGUGUGUCCCUCCCAAAGCUGCAUGCUCAGUCUAAGAGGAUGGCUGUCUCCGAAUAGAGACGGAUCGGUCUUCAGUCAAGGGUAUAGGAGGAGCUGCACUCCCCUGCUAGAACCUCCAAACAAGCUCUCAAGGUCCAUUUGUAGGAGAAUGUAGGGUAGUCAAGCUUCUAAGACUCCAAACACAUCCAAAUGAGGCACUGCAUGUGGUAAUAUGCCUUUCUUU
rnacentral:snRNA from 1 species